rnacentral:rRNA from 1 species
GCACAGUAGGGAAUCUUCCACAAUGGACGCAAGUCUGAUGGAGCAACGCCGCGUGAGUGAAGAAGGUUUUCGGAUCGUAAAGCUCUGUUGUUGGUGAAGAAGGAUAGAGGCAGUAACUGGUCUUUAUUUGACGGUAAUCAACCAGAAAGUCACGGCUAACUACGUGCCAGCAGCCGCGGUAAUACGUAGGUGGCAAGCGUUGUCCGGAUUUAUUGGGCGUAAAGCGAGCGCAGGCGGAAUGAUAAGUCUGAUGUGAAAGCCCACGGCUCAACCGUGGAACUGCAUCGGAAACUGUCAUUCUUGAGUGCAGAAGAGGAGAGUGGAAUUCCAUGUGUAGCGGUGGAAUGCGUAGAUAUAUGGAAGAACACCAGUGGCGAAGGCGGCUCUCUGGUCUGCAACUGACGCUGAGGCUCGAAAGCAUGGGUAGCGAACAGGAUUAGAUACCCUGGUAGUCCAUGCCGUAAACGAUGAGCGCUAGGUGUUGGGGACUUUCCGGUCCUCAGUGCCGCAGCAAACGCAUAAGCGCUCCGCCNGG